UACGGAGGGGGCUAGCGUUGUUCGGAAUUACUGGGCGUAAAGCGCACGUAGGCGGCCUUGUAAGUUAGAGGUGAAAGCCCAGGGCUCAACCCUGGAAUUGCCUUUAAGACUGCAUCGCUUGAACAUCGGAGAGGUAAGUGGAAUUCCGAGUGUAGAGGUGAAAUUCGUAGAUAUUCGGAAGAACACCGGUGGCGAAGGCGGCGACCUGGUCCGUGACUGACGCUGAGGCGCGAAAGCGUGGGGAGCAAACAGG
rnacentral:rRNA from 1 species